UGGGGAAUAUUGGACAAUGGGCGAAAGCCUGAUCCAGCCAUGCCGCGUGAGUGAUGAAGGCCUUAGGGUUGUAAAGCUCUUUCAGCGGGGAAGAUAAUGACGGUACCCGCAGAAGAAGCCCCGGCUAACUUCGUGCCAGCAGCCGCGGUAAUACGAAGGGGGCUAGCGUUGUUCGGAAUCACUGGGCGUAAAGCGCGUGUAGGCGGAUCGUUAAGUCGGGGGUGAAAUCCUGAGGCUCAACCUCAGAACUGCCUUCGAUACUGGCGAUCUUUGAGUCCGGGAGAGGUGAGUGGAACUCCUAGUGUAGAGGUGAAAUUCGUAGAUAUUAGGAAGAACACCAGUGGCGAAGGCGGCUCACUGGCCCGGUACUGACGCUGAUAUGCGAAAGCGUGGGGAGCAAACAGG
rnacentral:rRNA from 1 species